GAUGAACGCUGGCGGCGUGCCUAAUACAUGCAAGUCGAGCGAACAGACGAGGAGCUUGCUCCUCUGACGUUAGCGGCGGACGGGUGAGUAACACGUGGAUAACCUACCUAUAAGACUGGGAUAACUUCGGGAAACCGGAGCUAAUACCGGAUAAUAUAUUGAACCGCAUGGUUCAAUAGUGAAAGACGGUUUUGCUGUCACUUAUAGAUGGAUCCGCGCCGCAUUAGCUAGUUGGUAAGGUAACGGCUUACCAAGGCAACGAUGCGUAGCCGACCUGAGAGGGUGAUCGGCCACACUGGAACUGAGACACGGUCCAGACUCCUACGGGAGGCAGCAGUAGGGAAUAUUCCGCAAUGGGCGAAAGCCUGACGGAGCAACGCCGCGUGAGUGAUGAAGGUCUUCGGAUCGUAAAGCUCUGUUAUUAGGGAAGAACAAAUGUGUAAGUAACUAUGCACGUCUUGACGGUACCUAAUCAGAAAGCCACGGCUAACUACGUG
rnacentral:rRNA from 1 species